AGUAGCAUCCACUUCUCAGGUUUAUACUGCCCCUGAUUCUGCCUGGUAUAAAAUGCCUAAGUCUACAAGGUGAGCUUUGUGGUUGGACAUGCUUUUACAUUGGUGUGGCUGCUGUUGCUUUUGGAUGCUCUUAUUAUCACCUCAAACCAAAUGAUGGUCACCUUGUUUGGGAUCGUUUGCCUAUGCAAAUGAGGAAUCUUCACGAUCACAUGCCAUUCUUCGUUCAUAAAUCUUGCAGGAAAUGAAAGAGGUGCAGAUACAACUGAUAAUGAUAAGAAAACAAGGCUUGGCCUGUGCGUACUCCAAGGCCUGUUGCUUUCAAGCUUGUUGCUGAUACCCCUCUUCUUACUGGACAGGUAAGUUUCAAAUCUUUUUGUUGUGGAUUUCUUAUAGUUUCUUUUUGUUGUGGAUUUCUUAUAGUUUACUUAGCUUCUUAAAUCAAAGAGUAUAAAGCUUUCCUAAUGUGUUCUAAUAAUUAAGAAAACGGUGUUUUUUUGAAAAAUACUGAUGGACUUUGCUAUUUUGUUGUAUGGUGUAUUACCUUGGAUAUAAUUUGUUUUUACAGUUUUCUCUUUUUAUUUAAUUUAAAUUUGGAUAUAAGUUUGUAACACAUGGGAUUUAUGAUUGCAGCAAACAAUCUUUCUUUUCUUUCUAGACAUGAUUAAAGGCAUGUUUUUGGCUGUAGUUAUUGGACCACCUGUUGUGGUUGCCAUCAUUUUAA